AACGCUGGCGGCGUGCCUAAUACAUGCAAGUCGAACGAGUUCUCGUUGAUGAUCGGUGCUUGCACCGAGAUUCAACAUGGAACGAGUGGCGGACGGGUGAGUAACACGUGGGUAACCUGCCCUUAAGUGGGGGAUAACAUUUGGAAACAGAUGCUAAUACCGCAUAGAUCCAAGAACCGCAUGGUUCUUGGCUGAAAGAUGGCGUAAGCUAUCGCUUUUGGAUGGACCCGCGGCGUAUUAGCUAGUUGGUGAGGUAAUGGCUCACCAAGGCGAUGAUACGUAGCCGAACUGAGAGGUUGAUCGGCCACAUUGGGACUGAGACACGGCCCAAACUCCUACGGGAGGCAGCAGUAGGGAAUCUUCCACAAUGGACGCAAGUCUGAUGGAGCAACGCCGCGUGAGUGAAGAAGGCUUUCGGGUCGUAAAACUCUGUUGUUGGAGAAGAAUGGUCGGCAGAGUAACUGUUGUCGGCGUGACGGUAUCCAACCAGAAAGCCACGGCUAACUACGUGCCAGCAGCCGCGGUAAUACGUAGGUGGCAAGCGUUAUCCGGAUUUAUUGGGCGUAAAGCGAGCGCAGGCGGUUUUUUAAGUCUGAUGUGAAAGCCCUCGGCUUAACCGAGGAAGCGCAUCGGAAACUGGGAAACUUGAGUGCAGAAGAGGACAGUGGAACUCCAUGUGUAGCGGUGAAAUGCGUAGAUAUAUGGAAGAACACCAGUGGCGAAGGCGGCUGUCUGGUCUGUAACUGACGCUGAGGCUCGAAAGCAUGGGUAGCGAACAGGAUUAGAUACCCUGGUAGUCCAUGCCGUAAACGAUGAAUGCUAGGUGUUGGAGGGUUUCCGCCCUUCAGUGCCGCAGCUAACGCAUUAAGCAUUCCGCCUGGGGAGUACGACCGCAAGGUUGAAACUCAAAGGAAUUGACGGGGGCCCGCACAAGCGGUGGAGCAUGUGGUUUAAUUCGAAGCAACGCGAAGAACCUUACCAAGUCUUGACAUCUUUUGAUCACCUGAGAGAUCAGGUUUCCCCUUCGGGGGCAAAAUGACAGGUGGUGCAUGGUUGUCGUCAGCUCGUGUCGUGAGAUGUUGGGUUAAGUCCCGCAACGAGCGCAACCCUUAUGACUAGUUGCCAGCAUUUAGUUGGGCACUCUAGUAAGACUGCCGGUGACAAACCGGAGGAAGGUGGGGAUGACGUCAAAUCAUCAUGCCCCUUAUGACCUGGGCUACACACGUGCUACAAUGGAUGGUACAACGAGUUGCGAGACCGCGAGGUCAAGCUAAUCUCUUAAAGCCAUUCUCAGUUCGGACUGUAGGCUGCAACUCGCCUACACGAAGUCGGAAUCGCUAGUAAUCGCGGAUCAGCACGCCGCGGUGAAUACGUUCCCGGGCCUUGUACACACCGCCCGUCACACCAUGAGAGUUUGUAACACCCGAAGCCGGUGGCGUAACCCUUUUAGGGAGCGAGCUGUCUAAGGUGGGACAAAUGAUUAGGGUGAAGUCGUAACAAGGAGCUGUAGGAGAACUA
rnacentral:rRNA from 2 species